UUUCUUUGGAGAGUUUGAUCCUGGCUCAGGACGAACGCUGGCGGCGUGCCUAAUACAUGCAAGUCGAGCGG
rnacentral:rRNA from 1 species